GUUAAGCGACUAAGCGUACACGGUGGAUGCCCUGGCAGUCAGAGGCGAUGAAGGACGUGCUAAUCUGCGAUAAGCGUCGGUAAGGUGAUAUGAACCGUUAUAACCGGCGAUUUCCGAAUGGGGAAACCCAGUGUGAUUCGUCACACUAUCAUUAACUGAAUCCAUAGGUUAAUGAGGCGAACCGGGGGAACUGAAACAUCUAAGUACCCCGAGGAAAAGAAAUCAACCGAGAUUCCCCCAGUAGCGGCGAGCGAACGGGGAGCAGCCCAGAGCCUGAAUCAGUGUGUGUGUUAGUGGAAGCGUCUGGAAAGGCGCGCGAUACAGGGUGACAGCCCCGUACACAAAAAUGCACAUACUGUGAGCUCGAUGAGUAGGGCGGGACACGUGGUAUCCUGUCUGAAUAUGGGGGGACCAUCCUCCAAGGCUAAAUACUCCUGACUGACCGAUAGUGAACCAGUACCGUGAGGGAAAGGCGAAAAGAACCCCGGCGAGGGGAGUGAAAAAGAACCUGAAACCGUGUACGUACAAGCAGUGGGAGCACGCUUAGGCGUGUGACUGCGUACCUUUUGUAUAAUGGGUCAGCGACUUAUAUUCUGUAGCAAGGUUAACCGAAUAGGGGAGCCGAAGGGAAACCGAGUCUUAACUGGGCGUUAAGUUGCAGGGUAUAGACCCGAAACCCGGUGAUCUAGCCAUGGGCAGGUUGAAGGUUGGGUAACACUAACUGGAGGACCGAACCGACUAAUGUUGAAAAAUUAGCGGAUGACUUGUGGCUGGGGGUGAAAGGCCAAUCAAACCGGGAGAUAGCUGGUUCUCCCCGAAAGCUAUUUAGGUAGCGCCUCGUGAAUUCAUCUCCGGGGGUAGAGCACUGUUUCGGCAAGGGGGUCAUCCCGACUUACCAACCCGAUGCAAACUGCGAAUACCGGAGAAUGUUAUCACGGGAGACACACGGCGGGUGCUAACGUCCGUCGUGAAGAGGGAAACAACCCAGACCGCCAGCUAAGGUCCCAAAGUCAUGGUUAAGUGGGAAACGAUGUGGGAAGGCCCAGACAGCCAGGAUGUUGGCUUAGAAGCAGCCAUCAUUUAAAGAAAGCGUAAUAGCUCACUGGUCGAGUCGGCCUGCGCGGAAGAUGUAACGGGGCUAAACCAUGCACCGAAGCUGCGGCAGCGACGCUGAUGCGUUGUUGGGUAGGGGAGCGUUCUGUAAGCCUGUGAAGGUGUGCUGUGAGGCAUGCUGGAGGUAUCAGAAGUGCGAAUGCUGACAUAAGUAACGAUAAAGCGGGUGAAAAGCCCGCUCGCCGGAAGACCAAGGGUUCCUGUCCAACGUUAAUCGGGGCAGGGUGAGUCGACCCCUAAGGCGAGGCCGAAAGGCGUAGUCGAUGGGAAACAGGUUAAUAUUCCUGUACUUGGUGUUACUGCGAAGGGGGGACGGAGAAGGCUAUGUUGGCCGGGCGACGGUUGUCCCGGUUUAAGCGUGUAGGCUGGUUUUCCAGGCAAAUCCGGAAAAUCAAGGCUGAGGCGUGAUGACGAGGCACUACGGUGCUGAAGCAACAAAUGCCCUGCUUCCAGGAAAAGCCUCUAAGCAUCAGGUAACAUCAAAUCGUACCCCAAACCGACACAGGUGGUCAGGUAGAGAAUACCAAGGCGCUUGAGAGAACUCGGGUGAAGGAACUAGGCAAAAUGGUGCCGUAACUUCGGGAGAAGGCACGCUGAUAUGUAGGUGAAGCGACUUGCUCGUGGAGCUGAAAUCAGUCGAAGAUACCAGCUGGCUGCAACUGUUUAUUAAAAACACAGCACUGUGCAAACACGAAAGUGGACGUAUACGGUGUGACGCCUGCCCGGUGCCGGAAGGUUAAUUGAUGGGGUCAGCGCAAGCGAAGCUCUUGAUCGAAGCCCCGGUAAACGGCGGCCGUAACUAUAACGGUCCUAAGGUAGCGAAAUUCCUUGUCGGGUAAGUUCCGACCUGCACGAAUGGCGUAAUGAUGGCCAGGCUGUCUCCACCCGAGACUCAGUGAAAUUGAACUCGCUGUGAAGAUGCAGUGUACCCGCGGCAAGACGGAAAGACCCCGUGAACCUUUACUAUAGCUUGACACUGAACAUUGAGCCUUGAUGUGUAGGAUAGGUGGGAGGCUUUGAAGUGUGGACGCCAGUCUGCAUGGAGCCGGCCUUGAAAUACCACCCUUUAAUGUUUGAUGUUCUAACGUUGACCCGUGAUCCGGGUUGCGGACAGUGUCUGGUGGGUAGUUUGACUGGGGCGGUCUCCUCCUAAAGAGUAACGGAGGAGCACGAAGGUUGGCUAAUCCUGGUCGGACAUCAGGAGGUUAGUGCAAUGGCAUAAGCCAGCUUGACUGCGAGCGUGACGGCGCGAGCAGGUGCGAAAGCAGGUCAUAGUGAUCCGGUGGUUCUGAAUGGAAGGGCCAUCGCUCAACGGAUAAAAGGUACUCCGGGGAUAACAGGCUGAUACCGCCCAAGAGUUCAUAUCGACGGCGGUGUUUGGCACCUCGAUGUCGGCUCAUCACAUCCUGGGGCUGAAGUAGGUCCCAAGGGUAUGGCUGUUCGCCAUUUAAAGUGGUACGCGAGCUGGGUUUAGAACGUCGUGAGACAGUUCGGUCCCUAUCUGCCGUGGGCGCUGG
rnacentral:rRNA from 1 species